AUGCUGCCGUCCUCGUGCCUCGGUGUGUCGUGUGUGGCGCCGGGCCUCCCCACGCCAGCCAGCACUCCUCCACCAAUCCCUGCCCCUGAGAUCCGCUGCCGCCACCACUGGCUCCUCGCUGUAGUGCCAGCAGCGGCACACCGCGACGGCGGUAACUCUCGAGAAGGGCGAGGCGGCGGAUGGGGCCGGGACAGUGGCGGGGUUCACUGUCGUGAUGAAGUUCGGCGGGUCGUCGCUGUCGUCGGCCGCACGGAUCCGGGAUGUGGCCGACCUCAUCCUCAGCUUCCCCGAGGAGGCGCCCAUCAUCAUCCUCUCCGCCAUGGGGAAGGCCACCAAUCGAUGAGCUCGCUGUCAUCAAGGAGCUUCAUCUUACGAUCAUUAGUGAGCCAAGAUUGGACAGCUCUAUUGUUUCAGCACGCCGCCGCCUUCCUCCGACGCGUCUGCAUCGUCUCCGGCGCCGACGCCGCCGUCACCAAGAACUACGACCUCGUCAUCGUCACGGCCGGGGCUAGGCAGAUCCCGGGUGAGAACAGGCUCAACCUGCUGCAGACGAACGUUCCCCUAUAUCGCAAGAUCGUGCCGUCUGUGGCCGAGCACUCCCUGGAGGCGCUUCUUCUCGUAGUCUCCACCCGUCGACGUGCUCACCUACGUCGCCUGGAGACUCUCCAGCUUCUCGGCCAGCCGCGUCAUCGGCUGCGGCACCAACCUCGACUCCUACCGCUUCAGGUUCCUUAUCGCCAAAGCACCUCGACGUCAACCAGCAGGACGUGCAGGAUGAUAACAGGUAUAGGCGGGGGUGCCCAUUUGAAUCUCAAGCGUGUAGAGAAAGCAGGGGUACUUUGUUCAGAAGAUUCCAACUAUGAUUGA
rnacentral:rRNA from 1 species